CUUACUAUGGCCGCCACGCUAGGAAGAAAACUGGAAAGAAGUGUGACCAGAGGGACAAAAGGAAAAUCACACCACAGCAUUAGGGUUGCCCCGCACCGCAAAGUUGUAGCUAAGUCUAGCUAUUUUCCGAAAACUGACGAGUGAUGUCCACCAUAAAAAGCAUUUUGGAAAUUAAGAAAUACUGUGUUGAAUAAA
rnacentral:sRNA from 1 species